GCGGCGUGCCGGCUCCGUUCGCCGGAGAAGCAUGUUGCGGACCAGCGCCGCGUGCUUCCUCGUCGAACGGUGGCGACCAUGUUGC
rfam:Triticum aestivum genome assembly, contig: Triticum_aestivum_CS42_TGACv1_scaffold_569025_7AS